rnacentral:rRNA from 1 species
CAGGCCUAACACAUGCAAGUCGAACGAUACCUUUCGGGGUAUAGUGGCGCACGGGUGCGUAACGCGUGGGAAUCUGCCCCUGGGUUCGGGAUAACCGUUGGAAACGACGGCUAAUACCGGAUGAUGACGUAAGUCCAAAGAUUUAUCGCCCAGGGAUGAGCCCGCGUAGGAUUAGCUAGUUGGUGGGGUAAAGGCCUACCAAGGCGACGAUCCUUAGCUGGUCUGAGAGGGUGAUCAGCCACACUGGGACUGAGACACGGCCCAGACUCCUACGGGAGGCAGCAGUGGGGAAUAUUGGACAAUGGGCGAAAGCCUGAUCCAGCAAUGCCGCGUGAGUGAUGAAGGCCUUAGGGUUGUAAAGCUCUUUUACCCGGGAUGAUAAUGACAGUACCGGGAGAAUAAGCCCCGGCUAACUCCGUGCCAGCAGCCGCGGUAAU